AUUCUCUUUAUCCUGUAGUUAGAUCUUCUUUAACCUGUAGUUAAAGAACCUGUAGUUGAGGUUCUAAGCUCAGGGGCAGUCCAGCUCUGUGCAGAACGUGCUGAAGGCAGGAGGGCGAGCCAGUAUAACACACUUGUUGAAUGGUAGCAGGAAGUGGUUAAACUAUUGAGUGUUUUUUUAACUAGAUACAAAUCUCAGGUAGGACAGGAACAAGAUCACUGUUGUCCAUGAUGACUGAUUCCAGCUGCACAUAAGACUGUUAAGAGAAGGUCUUGUUGAACCAGACUGGCAGCAUGAGUCUCUCUGAGGAAUGUGAAGACAUUUCCACUGUCAUGAUGCACUCCUGUAAAAUCCAGUCAAACAGAUCAAGCUCUCCAGAACCCAGCUAUGUGUCUGUAAGCAGUGAAUCAUCUAUAGAUCUUCCUCCAUGUUUUAAAAAUGAAGACCCCUCAU